AUGUUGAAAAAUUAGCGGAUGACCUGUGGCUGGGGGUGAAAGGCCAAUCAAACCGGGAGAUAGCUGGUUCUCCCCGAAAGCUAUUUAGGUAGCGCCUCGUGAACUCAUCUCCGGGGGUAGAGCACUGUUUCGGCUAGGGGGCCAUCCCGGCUUACCAACCCGAUGCAAACUGCGAAUACCGGAGAAUGUUAUCACGGGAGACACACGGCGGGUGCUAACGUCCGUCGUGAAGAGGGAAACAACCCAGACCGCCAGCUAAGGUCCCAAAGUCAUGGUUAAGUGGGAAACGAUGUGGGAAGGCCCAGACAGCCAGGAUGUUGGCUUAGAAGCAGCCAUCAUUUAAAGAAAGCGUAAUAGCUCACUGGUCGAGUCGGCCUGCGCGGAAGAUGUAACGGGGCUAAACCAUGCACCGAAGCUGCGGCAGCGAACGUAUCACCCAAGACAACUUUACGGAGUUGACGAUUGACGGAGCGAAGCGACGUCAAAGCGUAUACAAAGUCGAGUUGGCUUAGGGAUACGUUCGUUGGGUAGGGGAGCGUUCUGUAAGCCUGUGAAGGUGGCCUGUGAGGGUUGCUGGAGGUAUCAGAAGUGCGAAUGCUGACAUAAGUAACGAUAAAGCGGGUGAAAAGCCCGCUCGCCGGAAGACCAAGGGUUCCUGUCCAACGUUAAUCGGGGCAGGGUGAGUCGACCCCUAAGGCGAGGCCGAAAGGCGUAGUCGAUGGGAAACGGGUUAAUAUUCCCGUACUUGGUGUUACUGCGAAGGGGGGACGGAGAAGGCUAUGUUGGCCGGGCGACGGUUGUCCCGGUUUAAGCGUGUAGGUGUGUGUUCCAGGUAAAUCCGGUUCACUUUAACACUGAGGCGUGACGACGAGGCACUACGGUGCUGAAGCAACAAAUGCCCUGCUUCCAGGAAAAGCCUCUAAGCAUCAGGUAACAUCAAAUCGUACCCCAAACCGACACAGGUGGUCAGGUAGAGAAUACCAAGGCGCUUGAGAGAACUCGGGUGAAGGAACUAGGCAAAAUGGUGCCGUAACUUCGGGAGAAGGCACGCUGACAUGUAGGUGAAGUGAUUUACUCACGGAGCUGAAGUCAGUCGAAGAUACCAGCUGGCUGCAACUGUUUAUUAAAAACACAGCACUGUGCAAACACGAAAGUGGACGUAUACGGUGUGACGCCUGCCCGGUGCCGGAAGGUUAAUUGAUGGGGUCAGCGCAAGCGAAGCUCCUGAUCGAAGCCCCGGUAAACGGCGGCCGUAACUAUAACGGUCCUAAGGUAGCGAAAUUCCUUGUCGGGUAAGUUCCGACCUGCACGAAUGGCGUAAUGAUGGCCAGGCUGUCUCCACCCGAGACUCAGUGAAAUUGAACUCGCUGUGAAGAUGCAGUGUACCCGCGGCAAGACGGAAAGACCCCGUGAACCUUUACUAUAGCUUGACACUGAACAUUGAGCCUUGAUGUGUAGGAUAGGUGGGAGGCUUUGAAGUGUGGACGCCAGUCUGCAUGGAGCCGACCUUGAAAUACCACCCUUUAAUGUUUGAUGUUCUAACGUGGACCCGUGAUCCGGGUUGCGGACAGUGUCUGGUGGGUAGUUUGACUGGGGCGGUCUCCUCCUAAAGAGUAACGGAGGAGCACGAAGGUUGGCUAAUCCUGGUCGGACAUCAGGAGGUUAGUGCAAUGGCAUAAGCCAGCUUGACUGCGAGCGUGACGGCGCGAGCAGGUGCGAAAGCAGGUCAUAGUGAUCCGGUGGUUCUGAAUGGAAGGGCCAUCGCUCAACGGAUAAAAGGUACUCCGGGGAUAACAGGCUGAUACCGCCCAAGAGUUCAUAUCGACGGCGGUGUUUGGCACCUCGAUGUCGGCUCAUCACAUCCUGGGGCUGAAGUAGGUCCCAAGGGUAUGGCUGUUCGCCAUUUAAAGUGGUACGCGAGCUGGGUUUAGAACGUCGUGAGACAGUUCGGUCCCUAUCUGCCGUGGGCGCUGGAGAACUGAGGGGGGCUGCUCCUAGUACGAGAGGACCGGAGUGGACGCAUCACUGGUGUUCGGGUUGUCAUGCCAAUGGCACUGCCCGGUAGCUAAAUGCGGAAGAGAUAAGUGCUGAAAGCAUCUAAGCACGAAACUUGCCCCGA
rnacentral:rRNA from 1 species